rnacentral:tRNA from 2 species
GGCCCCGUAGCUCAGCAUGGACAGAGCGGCGGCCUGCGGAGCCGUAGGUCGUGGGUUCAAAUCCCACCGGGGCCGCCA